ensembl:lncRNA
AUGUCCACCAGGGGUGCCUUGAGGUCCACCUGGGGCACACAGAGGUCCACUCGGGGCGCCUUGAGGUCCACCUGGGGCGCCUUGAUGUCCAACUGGGGCGCCUUGAAGUCCACUUUGGGCAUCUUGAUGCUAGGCAUGUGCACCUUGGGCAGGUGCCCUUUGAGUCCGGCUCCUGCUGAGGCUUCCUGGAGCUGCCCCUCGGGCACUUGGCCCUCCUGCAGCUCGACGCCCAGCGAGGCAGGCUUGAGCUCCAGGUCGGCAGAUGGCAGCUCAACGCCCACAUCACCGGUCAUGCCGUCCGCCUGGAUGGAGGGCAGGGACACGUCGGCCUGGGCCUUAGGCAGGGACACGUCCACCGAGGCCUCCAAGGACUUGCUUGGCGCCGAGGCACCGAAGGAUGGCAUCUUGAACUUGGGCAUCUUGAACUUGCUGUCUCUGGGGGCCGCCUCCCUGUCUCCCAGGGCCAGGUCACCCUCCAGCUUGGCGCCGGGUGCCCUGGCAUCCACCUCCACGCUGGGCAGAGUCACCUCCACGGUGGCGGCGCUCAGCUCACCUUUGGCGCCCUUCACGUCCACCUUGGGCGACUUGAGGUCCAUCUGGGGCGCCUUGAUGUCCACCUGGGGCGCCUUGACGUCCACCUUGGGCAUCUUGAUGCUGGGUACCUGGACCCUGGGCAGCUGGCCCUUGAUCCUGGCCCCUUCUGCUUUGCCUUUCAGCCCGGACGCUGACAGGUCUCCCUCGGGGAGGGACACCUCCACCUCUCCCCCAGGGAGGUCGAUAUCACCAGUGGGCAGUUGCACCGCGCCCUCUGGCGCUCGGAUCUCGCCUUCGAGGGAGGGCAGGGUGGCCGCCACGCCAACUUUGGGCACGGGCACGGGGACGUCCACGGAUGUUCCCAGGUCUUUGCUUGACACCGAGGCGCCGAAGGACGGCAUCUUGAACUUGGGCAUCUUGAACUUGCUGUCUCUGGCGGCCGCCUCCCCGUCUCCCAGGGCCAGGUCACCCUCCAGCUUGGCGCCGGGUGCCCGGGCGUCCAUCUCCACGCUGGGCAGGGUCACCUCCACGGCUGGGGCGCUCAGCUCGCCUUUGGCGCCCUUCACGUCCAACUUGGGUGCCUUGAGGUCCUCCUGGGUCGCCUCGAGGUCCACCUGGGGCACAUGGAGGUCAACCUGGGGAGCCUUGAUGUCCACCUGGGGCACCUUGAUGUCCAUCUGGGGCGCCUUGAAGUCCACUUUGGGCAUCUUGAUGCUGGGCAUGUGCACCUUGGGCAGGUGCCCUUUGAGUCCGGCUCCUGCCGAGGCUUCCUGGUGCUGCCCCUCGGGCACUUGGCCCUCCUGCAGCUCGACGCCCAGCGAGGCAGGCUUGAGCUCCAGGUCGGCAGAUGGCAGCUCAACGUGCACAUCACCGGUCUUGACGUCAGCCUGGAUGGAGGGCAGGGACACUUCGGCCUGGGCCUUGGGUAGGGACGCUUUCACCGAGGCCUCCAAGGACUUGCUUGGCACCGAGGCGCCGAAGGAUGGCGUCUUGAACUUGGGCAUCUUGAACUUGCUGUCUCUGGGGGCCGCCUCCCUGUCUCCUAGGGCCAGGUCACCCUCCAGCUUGGCGCCGGGUGCCCGGGCGUCCACCUCCACGCUGGGCAGGGUCACCUCCACGGCGGGGGCGCUCAGCUCGCCUUUGGCGCCCUUCACGUCCACCUUGGGCGCCUUGAUGUCCACCUGGGGCGCCUUGACAUCCACCUUGGGCAUCUUGAUGCUGGGCACCUGGACCUUGGGCAGCUGGCACUUGAUCCUGGCCCCUUCUGCUUUGCCUUUCAGCCCGGACACUGACACGUCUCCCUCGGGGAGGGACACCUCCAACUCUCCCCCAGGAAGAUCGAUAUCACCAGUGGGCAGUUGCACGGUGCCUUCUGGUCCUCGGAUCUCACCUUCGAGGGAGGGCAGGGUGGCCGCCACGCGAACUUUGGGCACGGGCACGGUGACGUCCACGGAUGUUCCCAGAUCUUUGCUUGGCACCGAGGCGCCGAAGGACGGCAUCUUGAACUUGGGCAUCUUGAACUUGCUGUCUCUGGCGGCCGCCUCCCUGUCUCCCAGGGCCAGGUCACCCUCCAGCUUGGCGCCAGGUGCCCGGGCGUCCACCUCCACGCUGGGCAGAGUCACCUCCACGGCGGAGGCGCUCAGCUCGCCUUUGGCGCCCUUCACGUCCACCAUGGGCACCUUGAGGUCCACCUGGGUCGCCUUGAGGUCCACCUGGGGCACAUGGAGGUCCACCUGGGGCGCCUUGAUGUCCACCUGGGGCACCUUGAUGUCCAUCUGGGGCGCCUUGAAGUCCACUUUGGGCAUCUUGAUGCUGGGCAUGUGCACCUUGGGCAGGUGCCCUUUGAGUCCGGCUCCUGCCGAGGCUUCC